UACUCACGCAUUAGUUUUGAUUAACUAAAGCGUUGAUGAAAACGUGUGCAAGUGUUACCUAUUGAAGCUUUCUACAUGAACGAAUAAUGUUCCAUCACAUCUUUGUAAUGUGCCUUCUAUUAGUGUCGAGUGUUUAUGCACAAGAUCCUGUCGCAAACUUAAUUCAAGGUCGCGUCGUAGGGAUAAAGGCAUUUAUGGACAAUUCUGCAUCUCCGAUCGAAAUUUAUUAUGGAAUUCCAUAUGCAGCGCCACCAAUUGGGAGAUUGAGGUUUUCACCCCCAGAACGACAUUCGGGUUGGAAAAAAACUUAUUUUGCUCAUCGAAUGCCUCCGAGCUGUCCUCAACUGCAGGAUGGAAAUGUGGAUUCUACUGAAAAUUGUCUAUGUCUAAACAUUUGGACAUCAAGGCAUGUAGAUGGACAAUUGCAACCUGUCGUAGUAAUCUUUUAUAGCGACUCUUGGGCAGGUGGUAGCUUGAAUUUACCAUGUCAGGAAUUAGCAGCGGAGGGUGUGGUUGUUGUUACGGUAGCUUACCGCUUGCAUAUUCUAUCAUUCUUCACAUUAAAGACUGUUGACGCUCGAGGUAAUCUUGCGUUGCUUGAUCAGUAUAUGGCCCUGCUAUGGGUUCGUGAAAAUAUAUCAGCGUUCGGUGGCGAUCCUACAUCGAUAACGCUUUUCGGACACUCGGCAGGCGCUGAUAGCGUUUUGUACCAUAUAGUUUCACCCCGUUCAGCAGGUUUGUUCCAUAGAGUGAUUAUUAUAUCUCCUCGAAAAAUUUGGAGGGCCAUACGAGAGGAGGGUAGUAUGGUUGAUAUAAAGAAUAUAUCGCAGACGAUUGCAGUGUCAUUAGGAUGUAUGAAUUAUACAAAGGACCACGACGUGUUGCAUUGCAUGCGAUCUAUGCCUCUGGAAGAUAUCGCGAAAAUAUUUUCUAAUACCUCCUGGAACAAACUCAUGCAACCGACUACCGAUGAUUUUUUACCAGAAUCAGUCCAGUAUCUACCUUUUUCGUUAGCGAAAGCCUUAAAGAAAUUACCUAAUAUGCCCUUGGAUGUCAUGCUUGGAACUACGGAUCUUGAAGCUUUAGAUCUUCAGGGUUUGUGCUAAUAUGAUGAAUAUUAAAAAAAUAACUACGUGCAAUAAAUAAAUAAAUACUUAUAUUUACAGAUAAUCGUAUUAAGAGUUUUUCCAAAAAAAAUUUUGAACAGAUAUAUAAUUUUACCAUGGAAAAAGUUCUUCCUGAUAUUUUAAAUGCUUUAUCAUUAAAUAAUCCAGAGUCAUUACGACUGUUGAAGGAGGCUGUGCGGUGGGAGUACUGGUCGUCUAUAAUGCAGCAAGGGACAGAAAAGGGAAAUCUUGAUGCUCUAGAGGCCCUCGUUAAUAUGGAUACUGUCGUGAACUGGGGGGUUGGAAGCUUUUUGCUUGCAGAAAAAUUAGCAAAUUUAGUAUCGCGUACAUAUGUUUUUCGUUACUCAUAUCCAUCCUAUGUAGAUCUUAACGGAAAUCGUCUUAAUAUGACAGGUGCCAUGAGAGGGACGGACCUUAUUGCUUUACUGGGUGAUGCCAUGAUGCUGCAAGUAGCUAGAAGACCUGCUUCUAAUGAUGAGAAACACAUUUCUUCAAAAUAUAGACGAUAUAUAAUAAAUUUUGUAAAAUUUGGUGUACCAAGUACUAAAGACGAAUGGCGUCGUUUUACGGUUCAUGAAAAGAAUGUAUUUGAAAUAUGCGAUACAAACUUAGGACGCUGCUGUAUCAAAAAUAUUCAGAAAGAUGUAGCAUUUUGGACACAAUACUUACCACGUCUAUCUAAAUCAUUGCUAAGCUCUAAUAAAUAUUCAGAAAAGGUAGUGGGAGAUCAGGGUGAAAGCCGUUUACGAGGAGGAAUAUUUGCCAUGUGUGGAGUUUCCAUUAUAUUACUCUUCCUUUUAUUUGCUAGUGGUCUAUUAUUGCACAGAAGACGAUCUUAUCGACCCUCAUCUGUUGAUUCACAAAUAGCGUAUUAGUUCAAAAUUGGUAAAUAUUUAUGUACGCAAUACGCCAAUACAUAAAAAUAAAUU